rnacentral:rRNA from 1 species
UACGGAGGGGGCUAGCGUUGUUCGGAAUUACUGGGCGUAAAGCGCACGUAGGCGGCUUUGUAAGUUAGAGGUGAAAGCCCGGGGCUCAACUCCGGAAUUGCCUUUAAGACUGCAUCGCUAGAAUUGUGGAGAGGUAAGUGGAAUUCCGAGUGUAGAGGUGAAAUUCGUAGAGAUCCGGAAGAACACCGGAGGCGAAGGCGGCUUGCUGGGCGUGAUCUGACGCGUGAGGCGCGAAAGCGUGGGGAGCGAACAGG